ACAGUACAAACUGAGCAGGCGAUAAACCCCUUUGGGGUUUGUGGGGCCGGGCCGCGCAGGCGGCAGCGGAUCGCGUAAAAACAAGCGCAUCUGCGGGACAGUG
rnacentral:ncRNA from 1 species